AUAUACAUACAUUCACACAGCACAAUGCUACCACUGUCAUGCUUUGGGGUGGGAAUGUGUCAGAGCAAUAUGCAGUUUUUCACUUAAGUCAACAAUAGUAGGGGUGUUUGCUUUCUCCAUUACAGCUGGACUAUUUAGGGCUUGUUGCCACUCUCCCAGACCUGCAGUCACAGCAGUCCUACAGAGUGGUUCUGCCACUGGAGCUGUAGAUCUCUGCAUGAACGUGUUUCAGUUUGCGGCUCUCAUGGACUCAGAGGUUUACCAUUGGGGUUUUCAUAGUUUGGACGAAGUGGCUGCUGAAGUUGGCUUCUGAUUGAAGCUCCGGGAAUCCUCUGGAUGCUGGAUGAUGUUGUCUCACAGGAUGGCACAGAAGACCAUCCUGUGGCCUCCAUUCUGUUUCUAUCUGGCUUCAGACUCCCAGUGGGUUCACAACUCCAGGAUGCCCAGAGAUCUUCACUUUUCAGCAUGAAAAAUAUGUGCCUAAAGCACUGAUGGCACAUUCAUUUAAAAUAAAAUCUGUUUU